UUUAUUUAUCAAAUUUUAAAUUUUGGUUAUAUGAUUUCCUCUUAUUGGAUUUCCUUGGGAGUAUUAUUGGAUUGGGUUGCUCCCUCCACUUCUCCGUUUCCACCCUUCAUCUUCCCUCUGCAACUUUUUUUAUAUUACUAAUUUUUUUUUUUUUUACUUUAUUUUUACUUUUUAACCCUAUUUAAUUAAGGAAUCCUAGAUUUUUACUUUCCAAUUUUCUACUUUCACUUAUGGUCGCCCCACCUCCCCUUCUCACCCUAGAUCUGUUUUCCUUUCUCACCUCAUCCAAAUCUGUUUCAUUUUUUUUUGUAAAACUCUUACUUCCAACUCUCCCAGUCCUCUCUUCCGUUUGUGCGUGGUUCUUUGUAGCUUUUGGUGUGUGCGGCGACGGUGCGGCGAGUGUGUUCGGUGGUUUGAUGUUUCCCUUUUGGUCUACGAGAGACGUCCAGGCCUGAACGGAUGUCGCACAUCCGUUUGACCCUGAAACGAAUGUCGAUAUCCGUCGAAGUUGAUUCCAGAUUCUAGUCGAAGGAAGAGCAAAAUCACGAGCAACUAUUUUCAACAGGCCUUCUUCACUGAACUCACUCAAUGCGUCCAUGGUUUGUCGGUUGAAGAGACCGUAUGAUUUGUGGGAAGAGAACUCUGACAUUGGAUUUGUUUUGAUGAAGGUAUUACUGUUGUGUUGGGUGAGUAGGUUUUAAUCCUAAAAAUAUAUUGAAAGAUAAAUUAAAAAUAGAAAAAUAGAACGAGGGAUAAAAGAAAAAGAGGGAGGUGGAGUAGGAAACGGGGAGGUGGAGGGAGUAACCUGUUGAAUUUCCACGUGUGUCCUGAAUUUGAUACACCCCAUAUCUCCCAUACAAUAUCUAUUUAUUUAUUUUAUAUAUUUUUUGUAGAGGUAAAAUGAGAAUUACAGCAAAAGUUAGAGGUGCAGGAAGAAAUCCCUGCAUAGAAUGACUAAGAAAAACUUUACUGGGCCUUAGAAGGAUUUUGGGCCAUAACUGGAUAUCUAUAGUUUUUCUUGUACUUCAUAUUCAGUGGGUUUCUCUUCACACCCCUAAACUAUUUCUUCAAAUUGAAGUCAAUAUGAUUAAUAAUAUUAUUGUUAUGGACACCAUCCUCCUAUUUUUGUAAAUUGCUAGAAUAUUAUUUUCAUGUCAUAAUAAUUUUUUUAACGAAUUAAGAUGAAUGUAUUCUUUUAGACAAACUAAAUUAUAAUUUUG